CCUACGGGAGACAGCAGUGAGGAAUAUUGGUCAAUGGGCUCGAGCCUGAACCAGCCAAGUAGCGUGAAGGAUGACUGCCCUACGGGUUGUACACUUCUUUUAUAAAGGAAUAAAGUGAGGCACGUGUGCCUUUUUGUAUGUACUUUAUGAAUAAGGAUCGGCUAACUCCGUUCCAGCAGCCGCGGUAAUACGGAGGAUCCGAUCGUUAUCCGGAUUUAUUGGGUUUCAAGGGAGCGUAGAUUGGUUGUUAAGUCAGUUGUGAAAGUUUGCGGCUCAACCGUAAAAUUGCAAUUGAUACUGGCAGUCUUGAGUACAGUUGAGGUAGGCGGAAUUCGUGGUGUAGCGGUGAAAUGCUUAGAUAACACGAAGAACUCCGAUUGCGAAGGCAGCUUACUAAACUGCCACUGACAUUGAUGCUCGAAAGUGUGGGUAUCAAACAGGAGUAGAUACCCGGGUAGUC
rnacentral:rRNA from 1 species